UUGUCUCAAAGAUUAAGCCAUGCAUGUCUAAGUAUAAGCAACUUGUACUGUGAAACUGCGAAUGGCUCAUUAAAUCAGUUAUCGUUUAUUUGAUAGUACCUUACUACAUGGAUACCUGUGGUAAUUCUAGAGCUAAUACAUGCUAAAAACCCCGACUUCAGGAAGGGGUGUAUUUAUUAGAUAAAAAACCAACGCCCUUCGGGGCUCCUUGGUGAAUCAUAAUAACUUAACGAAUCGCAUGGCCUUGCGCCGGCGAUGGUUCAUUCAAAUUUCUGCCCUAUCAACUUUCGAUGGUAGGAUAGUGGCCUACCAUGGUGGCAACGGGUAACGGGGAAUUAGGGUUCGAUUCCGGAGAGGGAGCCUGAGAAACGGCUACCACAUCCAAGGAAGGCAGCAGGCGCGCAAAUUACCCAAUCCCGAUACGGGGAGGUAGUGGCAAUAAAUACUGAUACGGGGCUCUUUUGGGUCUCGUAAUUGGAAUGAGAACAAUUUAAAUCCCUUAACGAGGAACAAUUGGAGG
rnacentral:rRNA from 1 species